rnacentral:rRNA from 1 species
ACGGUGGAUGCCCUGGCAGUCAGAGGCGAUGAAGGACGUGCUAAUCUGCGAUAAGCGUCGGUAAGGUGAUAUGAACCGUUAUAACCGGCGAUUUCCGAAUGGGGAAACCCAGUGUGUUUCGACACACUAUCAUUAACUGAAUCCAUAGGUUAAUGAGGCGAACCGGGGGAACUGAAACAUCUAAGUACCCCGAGGAAAAGAAAUCAACCGAGAUUCCCCCAGUAGCGGCGAGCGAACGGGGAGCAGCCCAGAGCCUGAAUCAGUGUGUGUGUUAGUGGAAGCGUCUGGAAAGGCGCGCGAUACAGGGUGACAGCCCCGUACACAAAAAUGCACAUGCUGUGAGCUCGAUGAGUAGGGCGGGACACGUGGUAUCCUGUCUGAAUAUGGGGGGACCAUCCUCCAAGGCUAAAUACUCCUGACUGACCGAUAGUGAACCAGUACCGUGAGGGAAAGGCGAAAAGAACCCCGGCGAGGGGAGUGAAAAAGAACCUGAAACCGUGUACGUACAAGCAGUGGGAGCACAGAGCAAUCUGUGUGACUGCGUACCUUUUGUAUAAUGGGUCAGCGACUUAUAUUCUGUAGCAAGGUUAACCGAAUAGGGGAGCCGAAGGGAAACCGAGUCUUAACUGGGCGUUAAGUUGCAGGGUAUAGACCCGAAACCCGGUGAUCUAGCCAUGGGCAGGUUGAAGGUUGGGUAACACUAACUGGAGGACCGAACCGACUAAUGUUGAAAAAUUAGCGGAUGACUUGUGGCUGGGGGUGAAAGGCCAAUCAAACCGGGAGAUAGCUGGUUCUCCCCGAAAGCUAUUUAGGUAGCGCCUCGUGAAUUCAUCUCCGGGGGUAGAGCACUGUUUCGGCAAGGGGGUCAUCCCGACUUACCAACCCGAUGCAAACUGCGAAUACCGGAGAAUGUUAUCACGGGAGACACACGGCGGGUGCUAACGUCCGUCGUGAAGAGGGAAACAACCCAGACCGCCAGCUAAGGUCCCAAAGUCAUGGUUAAGUGGGAAACGAUGUGGGAAGGCCCAGACAGCCAGGAUGUUGGCUUAGAAGCAGCCAUCAUUUAAAGAAAGCGUAAUAGCUCACUGGUCGAGUCGGCCUGCGCGGAAGAUGUAACGGGGCUAAACCAUG